rnacentral:rRNA from 1 species
UAAGUAAGUGGUGGAAAUUAAACCAACUGGGAUCUCUUCAGUAAUUGCGCAUGAACCAGGAUAUGCUUAGCUUGAAAAAUGGAGCUGCUGGCUCUGAAUUGUAAUUGUGGGAAUGUAUUACCAACAGAGGUGCAGGUGUCAGCCAUUUGAAAGAAAGCAUCAAUGAGGGUGAGAGUCCUGUUUGUCAUGUGCAGUCCUUCUGUGCACGGUGUAUAUUUGCUGAGUCACACUCCUUGGCAUUGGAAUGCAAAGUGGGUGGUAAGUUUCAUGCAAAGGUAAAUAUGCAAUUGAGACUGAUAGCGCACAAGUACCAUGAGGGACAUAUGAAAAGGACUUUGAACAGAGAAUUAAAUGAGUUUGUAUUUGCUAAACACAAAGUAAACAGACUUGAUUUCCUCAGUGAGAUUGUAGUGCUUGCUURACAAUGGGUUUUGGCUGCAAGUGCAAUAAUUCUUGCUUUGUGUGCCAGUUUUUAUGUGGACAUUUGAUUACCUUUGCACAUGAAUGGUAAUUUUCCUGCGGGGUGUGGAUUGCAUAUGCAUGUAAUGAUUUGCAUGUUUGUUAAAUGUGUCUGGUGUAUUUGUUUGUGUCCUUGUCCUUGAGGUUGCUUUCUCCCUUGGGCUUACAUGCCCUGGCAC